rnacentral:lncRNA from 1 species
UAUGGCUUCAGGCACAUCGGCACAUUUAGUUACUAGUUUUAAGAUAUAUUGGAAUUGAACUGAUUGUUAAAGCAAGUGCUUCACUACAAACAUUUUUCAGGACGCAUUCCCAUCAAUCCAACAAUGCAUAUUUUGCAAUUAACAUACCCACUUCUACACAAAAAAAGUAUUAUUCUUACAAGUUAAAAGAGACUCUGAGUCUGAGGGAUUAGGGACCUAAACCAAAGAGGAAUCUUAUGAUCUGUGAGCAGAAUAAGAUGUGGCAUUUCCUGGAUGAAGACAUCUGAAGAGAGCAUAUGUGAACCUCAAGAGCAGGACUGAUGAUCCCAACAGACAAAUUGCCACAGUAUGCAGCAUUCACUAGAAUGAAAGGUUUAUAGGUGAGAUAUUUAAAGAGGUCACCACGCCCAGAGCAUGUGGGUCUGCAGUGAAAUAGAAGACAGUGCUCAAGAUGAAG